AAAAGAAAAAAGAUAAAUGUGAAAGUCAGCUAUGCAAGUUCCUUUGUCUGAAAUGCUUGUACCAGUUUUUCCCCUUGCCUAUGUUGCACAGGAAGCUCUGCUUUGAUUCCUCAGAGGCACGUUCUAUUAAAGCCUUGAGUAAAAGUCUUAAGCUUGCUACCUCUUUAAUUCUGUGAUUAGUUCCAAAAAAUACUUGCUUGGUCCUGUUCAACUCUUGGUUAUGCUGUGUUCCUGUUUCUCUCCAGGUGACCUAAGUAGGAUUUCACCCUCCUCGCUUCUCUGCAUCAGAAGCUAAUCUGCUCUUAACAGCAAUGAGUAGUGAAAAAGUCUUUGUGAGUGCUGUGAAAGAGCACAGCGCUCCGCUGUCAGCCAGAGCCAUUGGAAGAGAGGGAGAGAAGCAAGGAGCUGCGGAGGACAGUGGGCAAUAACCGGAGGUAAAUACCAGUCUCAGCAAUUUCCACUCUUCAUAUGCAAUUUGAUUUAGAACUGAACAUCCUCUGCUCGCUAAGCAGGUAUUUAUUGUGGCCGAACUUCCUGACAUAUUCCUCACCCGCGUCGCUGCCUGCCCAGGGGUUACUCAGCACUCCUCACACCGUGGCCGCCCCGCUGGGUUUUCCUGCAGAUGCGCCGAAGGCCUGCAGCACUUCCCAUUCCAAGAGGAAUUUUGGGAAUUUCCAUGGAGACGUGGCAGCAGGUGGUGCGGUGCCCACAGGAGGGACGUUGGCGCCAGAUGCUCAUCCAGAACCACUGUGGUCAAUAAACUGUGAAUUAAGAAGGAUUUACGUGAUUGUCCGUGAGGGCUGCGUGAGUUGUCAAAGUGUGCUCAGUAACCCAGUUACCAAAAACGCCACUCUGUGUGCUUAGUAAAAGGCUGUAACAAAGACUGUAACUGCUUUAAAAUAUGGUUAUAGACUAUUGCACGAAGGAGAAGCAGUAACUUAAAUAUGCACAGGCUUUGAAUGCACUUGACUUUAUCAUGGGUCGCAGUGAAUUAUGCAAGGCAUGAAAAACAGUUGUCAAAAAUAUGGAAGAAAGAUACAAAGCCAAAAGUGCAGCCAUUCAUUCUCAGUGGUAAUGUGUUAAUGCAGGGGAUGGGAAACAGCAGCACUGGAAAUGGGAAGGGAAUGCUCAGCAAACUAAACUCUUCACUGGAAAAACAUUCCCACAGAAUAAUAAUCAUCCAUGAGCUUUGAAAUUAUCUCAAAAUGAAUAAUGGUUUUCCCAGCCAGUCCCUGGGUACAGCCAAGGUCAGGCUGGACGGGCUCUGAGCACCUGAUGGAGCUGUAGGUGUCCCUGUUCAUUGCAGGGGGGUUGGACUGAUGUCCUUUCGGGGUCCCUUCUGACUCAAACGAUUUUGUGGUUCUAUGAUGACCCAGGGUUGAAUGACAAAACACAGUGCCACCAUGUGCCCAAUGCAACAAACCCACGGCACCACGGGAUUCCUCCUUGGAGAGCCCUCCCGAUGAGAAAGCAGCAGCCAAACACUCGCACGGGAUGUUUUCUGAGCUGUAUGAACACAUUAUGAAAUUACUCGGUGCGAUAAUAAAUGCAUCCAGAGUUUUAGUAUUUUCCACCUCAGGUGGUAAGGCAGUCACUGCGAAUAGAUUGCUGGAGCGAAGGUUUGUGCCUUUAGCACGGCGGUAGCAGAUGGCCUAAUAAAUAUGCAGUGCUCUGAAAUGACGCCUGUAAUUUGUGACCUAGGCUUUUUCUGGUCUCCCACGAAGAUAAAACACGCAAUCAUCCAAUAAUAAACUUGUUAAUAGAUAAAAAACGCAAGCGGUGUAAUGGAAGCAUUGCUGGAAGCCCAGCAGCAUUACAGUGCAGCGACAGUGGUGCUGGGAGCCUGGCUCUGUGGUUUAUGGCUAUAUGGGACUGUGGCUGCACCCGAUGGAGCAGCAGCACCCCAAACCUAUUCCUGGUUGGGGGAGAUGGAUGAGGCAUUGUGACUACAGUGGGAUCCAGAGCAUCAGAGGGAGAGCUCCUGUGCUGCUGCUAACAGCAACUACAGAACCAGAACCAACGAGAAGCACUGUUGUUACAUUGACACACUCCCGUGGGUGCCAUGAAACCAAGCUUUCAGUUUGUGAGGGAACUGAAUUUCAAUAGAUUUUUUUCAAAGUGCCAGAAAAGGUGGCAGCUGAGGAUGCCGAGUUACUAUAGUAACCACAAGAGAAGUGGUGAUUAUCAGAAGUACCACAGAGGAAAGAGAGACCGGAUUGUCUUUUUGUUCUGCACAUAAUUCAUUGCUUAAAAACAAUCUCUUUUUUGAUAUAAAGAAACACUAUGGAAAAAAAUUGAGUAUGAAAUGCAUUAUGCAAAAAAAUUUGCACGGAUUUUCCAGCCUGUGCAGUCUUGCCAUCUGACCCAAAGUUUCAAGAUGCACCAAAAUUGAGCGUCUGAUGUCUGAAGGAUACAUGAAUAAUAAGCAGUACUUCUCACGUCUUCUUACCUUGUAAACAUGGCAGCAGAGGGGAAGGGGCAAUGCUGCUGUCCUGAGGAGGGGAGCUCUUUGGGACAGAGGUGCUCCGUUUGGCGUCACAGAGCUCACAUGGCUGCUGAGGACAUACAACAAGCAAUGCUAAGCAGAAAGCAGCUGUGUACAUACAAGCGUGUGUGAGCCAGGAUCUGAUUUUUGAAGGGCAAAAUUAUGAUUUCAUUGAACUCUUAAACUGAUUAUGGCAUUAGCAAGAACAGAUAUAAAUCUUUCUGGGAUAAACUGGCUAAGGCAGGGUAAGUAAAUUAUCUCCACACAGUAUCUGUCUUCCUGCGGAUUUCAGUGCUACUCGAAUCAAUUGGCAGUGAUAUGUUUGUACCUGACUCAGAAGCCAAAUACACAAUCUGAUCCUGUGCCAAGCUGCUAUUAACAGCUGCAUUUUCAAUUGAUUCUUGGAUAUUCAUUAACUGGCAUCCAUAAUUACAAAUAAUUUACAGACAUAACAUUUUAAAUCACUUGCCAGUGAGCUUUGUAGGCUCACUUUAUGACAUUCCAAUACAUUAUUCUUAAAAAUUCACUGAGUAAUCAACUUGCAAAUGAUUACUGUGGAACAGCACUGGAUAUAAUCAAGUAGAAACUCAGAGCACGAAUCACCAGAAAUGUCCAUAGAUCACUUCUGCCAUGUGAUGCUGACAUUCACUUUAACUCCCUCCAAAAAACUGUUACAUACUGAACUGCUGGACUCUGAAGCUGCUGUGAGCUUGAUGCCAUUACAAUCAAACCCUUUGCUUCUUCCACAGGCAGCCCCUGCCCUGCACAGUUUCAUGGACUGCACUUAUUUUGAAAUGCUAUGAAUGCUCUGCUCUAUCUCCAUAGUCUUGCUCCACGGUCAACAUGGAUAUUAUACGUAUAGCAGGAAGAAAUCACACUGCGAUGCAUGCAAUUUCUAAGUUGGAACUCUGAGGCCCUCACUGGAAACUGCACUGAAAGACAAUGUGGAUGGGAUACAUAAGUUUUGUUCUUAAGUUGCAAAGUAUAACAGAAAAACUAAUAUAAACGUACAAGGACUGUACGCAUAUGGAUCAUAUAUACACCUUCUUGCCUUUACGUGGAACAAGGCUCCAAUUUCUGAGUGUUGGAACAAUCACUCCUUACUGCCAUCUCAAAUGACAGCAGGAAAUAGAGGGCAGCUGGUACCAGAGUCCAUCCUAUGGUUUUUUUUCUGAUGA